UUUGGAAAUUAAGCCGCGACAACAAGGACGUAGACGAGCCAGUCGGGGUUCAUAGGGAGAGGUAGAGGGUGGCUGGAGUGAAGUUGGAGCACCCCGAAAAAUACAGGGUUACACAGAGCCUCGUACUGUCACUGCAUAGGAAACAGAAACUUAGACCUGUACCAGGAGUUUACAGAACAAGGGACAGCGUGGGUACAGCUGGAGGCGGGCACAGAGUGUAAGGGACAGUGUGGGUACAGCUGGAGGCGGGCACAGAGUGUAAGGGACAGUGUGGGUACAGCUGGAGGCGGGCACAGAGUGUAAGGGACAGUGUGGGUACAGAGUGUAAGGGACAGUGUGGG
rnacentral:lncRNA from 1 species